rnacentral:rRNA from 1 species
AUUGAACGCUGGCGGCAGGCCUAACACAUGCAAGUCGAGCGAGCGGCGGACGGGUGAGUAAUGUAUGGGAAACUGCCUGAUGGAGGGGGAUAACGACUGGAAACGGUAGCUAAUACAGCAUACCAUCAACUGUGCCCAGAUGGGAUUAGCUAGUAGGUGGGGUAACGGCCCACAUAGGCGACGAUCCCUAGCUGGUCUGAGAGGAUGACCAGCCACACUGGAACUGAGACACGGUCCAGACUCCUACGGGAGGCAGCAGUGGGGAAUAGUGCACAAUGGGCGCAAGCCUGAUGCAGCCAUGCCGCGUGUGUGAAGAAGGCCUUCGGGUUGUAAAGCACUUUCAGCGGGGAGGCGUUACCCGCAGAAGAAGCACCGGCUAACUCCGUGCCAGCCGCCGCGGUAAUAC